rnacentral:rRNA from 1 species
GUCCUACGGGACGCAGCAGUGAGGAAUAUUGGUCAAUGGGCGAGAGCCUGAACCAGCCAAGUCGCGUGAGGGAAGACGGUCCUAUGGAUUGUAAACCUCUUUUGUCGGGGAGCAAGACCCGCCUCGUGCAGGCGGAGCGAGAGUACCCGAAGAAAAAGCAUCGGCUAACUCCGUGCCAGCAGCCGCGGUAAUACGGAGGAUGCGAGCGUUAUCCGGAUUUAUUGGGUUUAAAGGGUGCGCAGGCGGACCAUCAAGUCAGCGGUAAAAUCGUGGGGCCCAACCCCAUCCCGCCGUUGAAACUGGCG